GACGAACGCUGGCGGCGUGCUUAACACAUGCAAGUCGAACGGAAAGGCCCUGCUUUUGUGGGGUGCUCGAGUGGCGAACGGGUGAGUAACACGUGAGUAACCUGCCCUUGACUUUGGGAUAACUUCAGGAAACUGGGGCUAAUACCGGAUAGGAGCUCCUGCUGCAUGGUGGGGGUUGGAAAGUUUCGGCGGUUGGGGAUGGACUCGCGGCUUAUCAGCUUGUUGGUGGGGUAGUGGCUUACCAAGGCUUUGACGGGUAGCCGGCCUGAGAGGGUGACCGGCCACAUUGGGACUGAGAUACGGCCCAGACUCCUACGGGAGGCAGCAGUGGGGAAUAUUGCACAAUGGGCGGAAGCCUGAUGCAGCAACGCCGCGUGCGGGAUGACGGCCUUCGGGUUGUAACCCGCUUUCGCCUGUGACGAAGCGGGAGUGACGGUAAUGGGUAAAGAAGCACCGGCUAACUACGUG
rnacentral:rRNA from 1 species